rnacentral:rRNA from 1 species
AUUGAACGCUGGCGGCAUGCUUUACACAUGCAAGUCGAACGGUAACAGGCCUUCGGGUGCUGACGAGUGGCGAACGGGUGAGUAAUGCAUCGGAACGUGCCCAGAGGUGGGGGAUAACACAGCGAAAGCUGUGCUAAUACCGCAUGUGAUCUGAGGAUGAAAGCGGGGGACCAGGCAGCAAUGUUUGGCCUCGCGCCUUUGGAGCGGCCGAUGUCAGAUUAGGUAGUUGGUGGGGUAAAGGCCUACCAAGCCGACGAUCUGUAGCUGGUCUGAGAGGACGACCAGCCACACUGGGACUGAGACACGGCCCAGACUCCUACGGGAGGCAGCAGUGGGGAAUUUUGGACAAUGGGCGAAAGCCUGAUCCAGCAAUGCCGCGUGCGGGAAGAAGGCCUUCGGGUUGUAAACCGCUUUUGUACGGAACGAAAAGGCUCUGGCUAAUACCUGGGGCUGAUGACGGUACCGUAAGAAUAAGCACCGGCUAACUACGUG